GCGAUGACGUCACGCAGCAGCCUAUAUAUACCCAGAAAACAGCCCUCACUUUCGCGGGGUGUCUCAUCUAACCCUAAGUUAGGGCGGCCUCCUGUCCUUAACGUUGACUGGUUUCUUGUCUGGCUUCCAGUGAACAACAGGAGGUGUUUGAGGAGUACGAACAACGACAACUUAAAAAAAAAAAAAAAAAAAAGCCCAGACAAUCACCCCGCCGUGUUCAGUUUCCCGUUCAAGAAACGCCGUGAACGUCCCGCCGUGGUCAGCUCGGCUGCCGCGAAGAGUUGGUCUCUGCUGCCGCGGUGUUUUCAUGUCGGGAUUAACUCGCAACUGAGCAGAGUAAAACUGAGCAGGGUGAGUUUAGCAGAUCUCCCAGUGGUCUGUUAGAAAUCCCGCGCUCAAACACCUGAUCACCUUUGUUACACCGACCGUGCCAACCUGACUCGGGCUCGUGUGGGAAGCUCCACCAGCUCGAGCUAGCGCUAGCCUAGACCUGGAGGUAACACCAGCAGCACCGGUGUUUCACCUGGCCUUCCCCCUGAACUGUGGAGACACGGCCUGCUUAAAAGCACGGGGCGGAGUGGACCUUUGUUUGACCGCCUAAGUUGCUAAAAUGUUGGCCUUUUUUCAAAGGCUUUCUGUUGUAUUAUAAAGCAGACUUCAGCCUCCAUUUCACAUUGCCUCUGUGACCCGUCUUUAGUUACUUUAGCAGCGUUUAACAGUGAUUUCUUCCACUGAGCCGAAGCCACCUGUUUGCUCUCCAACACUCGUCGUUACAAACCUGGUUCAAAUAAAUUGUAAUGACAUCAACCCCCAUGCAGCGCAUUAGUGUCGUGGGUCUAGAUCCUAUCAUGAAAUACGCCUGGACCUUUUUUUUUUUUUAAUGUUGAAAGAAUUUGCUUUGCUUGUGAAAUGGCUGAAAAUUCCCCCAGCACUCGUGCAAAAGAAUAAAAACAUCUCAAAGAGACAUUUACGUUCAAUAAAACGUGACACAGACAGAUGUUGAGGUUUGCAAAUAACUUACAAAAGGGAGCAGGGCGUAGCACACUACGGUGUGAAAAAUAUGGUAUAAAAGGGAACUCCACCUCCAACCACAAACCCACACUAUUAUACAAGGUGUCUGUUGUAUUGGCCUCAAAGUGGACAUGGAGUAACACCAUGUUCAGACUAACCUGCCAAAGGAAAUGCUUCAAAUUAAGACAUUUUAUAUGUUUUUUCAAGCCUAAGAAGACAAUAGAGAACGUCCUCACAUGCAGACAUACCUCCCACUCCAUGUCCUAUUUUUACUAGCCCAUGUUAAUGAGAAAAUUAACAGACUGGAGCGUAAUCCAUUAUGCAGUUUUGCAGAUGUUCAUUGUCAAACAGAAAAGCAGCUCGACCCUGAGCGUUAGUCUUAAAACUGAAGAAUCUGCCAUAUUUAGCUUCUAAACGUUUUCUUAUGGGUACCAGCACCGGUUGCAGUGCUUCUUCUUCCAAUGAAUCGUUAGUUGACUUUGGUUGCAUGCCUACAUUUCUGUCCUAAGUGUUGGAGGCGAAACACAGGCCCGUUGGUUCCUCAACCAUGUCCUGUGCCAAACCCCCAGAGUUGUGUCUGACACUGGCUGCUUGAAACACCACUCUGCAUUCACACAAUUAUAAUACUGAUGACUUCCACAGCCAUCAGAACAACAAUGCGUCAUUUAACAAGUUUCUGAAGCAACAGCCCAAAUGUCUUCAUAGGGAGCGUAGUUGUAUUUGUCCAUGAGUGUUACUCUCCACCCUUUGAUUCAAUUAAGUGGUGCGUCAAUGCAUUCGUGGCACUUCAUAUGUUAAACCUAGAUGUGUGAUUAUUGAGCACCGGAUCCGCCCUGUUAUGGCAUCCAUGAGGUAAGAGGAGGAAUAGCGUACGCACAGUUGUUGAGGCCUGCAAUGCAGCAGAUAAACAUAUCCUGGUUUAUAAUGGCUGGGAGGGGUUCAGACGUCUGGAUGUGAAGUUGUGGCUUAUAGCAUCUACUCAGGUCAUUGCUCUCACAGCCAGUAGUAUUGAAAUCACUGGCAGAUAACCCAAACACAGAGACGGGAGUCAUAUUGAGAAACUGACAAAAAACUCCUGCUAUACUUAUCUAUUUCUAUUGAAAUGAUUCACUGGAUUCCAAAUAUGACGAGCUCUUACUCUUACUUAUCUUUAACCAUGCAUAUAAAAUACUGCUUACAUUUGACUUUUGAAGGAGCGAAAACUUUACCAUUAUAAACAAUAUUUGUACACUUUUUGUGAGAAGUGAACUUUUUGAAACCUUUGGAUGUCUCUGAACUACAUUACACCCUGAACUCAAUAAUAAACUCACUCGCACUCCAACUAGCCUCGCAAAUCUAGAAAAUUAUAGAUCUAUUCAUCUAUUUGUAGGAGCUUUAUUGGUGAAGAGAGAUAGUGAUAAAGAUUUAUUUGAUUUUAAAAGGACGUGUGUAGGAUUUAAUGGUAUCUAGCGGUGGAGUUGCAGAUUGCAACCACCUCCACUCACACUCCUAUUCCAAUUUUACAGGAGAAACUCUGGUAGCCAUAAAACAUGCAAAAACCCUGAAGGAGCCAGUCUUUAGUUUUUUUGGGCUACUGUGUUAAACAUGGUGGACCCUUCUAAAGUGAAACAAUAUUUUCAGGUUAUUAUACACAAAUGAAAACAUAGUUAUGCAUAUUAUAUUCCAUAGAUAGAGCCCCCUAAUUGACACACCAGACUUUUAUAUUUAAGUUUAAGGUUUUCGUAUAAAAUAAUAUCUUUACUUACAGCUAACAUCUGUUUGUAAAGUCCACAUAAUGCAAUUUGAUUUCAUACUUAUCUUUUCAUAAAUCCCCCUCAGCCCCCAAGACAAAUCCAGUGGGAGAGAAUUGCAACCGAAUACCAAAGUGGUGAAUCAAUAUUAAGUUGGACCUUGAUUUUGUUUUGUACAUGUGCUCUUCCUUUAGAAAAAGAACAUGGUGCUGGCUCGGUUCGAAGUUAAUUCCUAAGAAUAGAUAAUGGUCUCUCUCACUGUUCAUGUUGAGCCAAACAGCCAGACCAUACCUCAUCGUGCCAACGUGGAAAUAGUGCUGGGUGUAAUGAGAGCAGUACUCAGACAAAGGAUGGCAAGCAUUAUGUGAAAGACCUGUUAAGGAGCUACCAAACCACGACAUUUAGCUGCCUUUUUCUGUGAGCGGUCAGCUCAGAGCGGUCUGAGAGAACACACCCUUCCUGAGCAGAGGCUGGAGGAGCUGGCAUGGACUCCUCAACAUCACCCACAAUAAACAUGUAUAGUUCAUUUCAAGGCGUGUGGUUGACUUGCAGAUGGUGCAAUUUUUUAGUUCCAUUCCACUGAAUCAGACUUUUGUCAAAACAGUGAUUUAUAAUUGAGAAAAGAAAUGUUGUUGAUGAUGUUAUUUAACACAAGACCCCUACAUAGAUUAAUAAAUGCUUCAGGAAUGUCAUAAGGUGGUAAAUCACUUUGUAUUUUGGCCAGUAAUGAGCUGCUGACGUGCUAUAGCAACAAUCACCAUGGAAUGAAUGCUUUGAGCACACAGAUGAGAUGUCAUGCUAUGUCACAUGAGAUGUGAAUUUAUAACAUCCCUAAGAGGGUGCAGCAAAGCUACAUUUCACAAUAAAACUAUAAGGACAUUUCAAAAUUUGGUUCAGCCUUGUUAAGAGAACUGGUUGCCUGACUUUCUUUCUCCUAUGAUGAAAGCAAGUCUCUGCAUGGACGUGCUAGAAAUGUCAAUUCUUUGCUUUUCAUUGUCUGAUAAGAGACAUGAAUUAAGGAGACAGAGUUCAGGUCAAAGCCAUUCCCCAUACAAAUGCUGUUCCAGAUUAAAGUGUGGUUCAAGGAACAAGUUGCUCCGCUGUUGGCAGAUAACUGUUUUUGUUCUUGCCUUUUGAUUUUUCCUAAAACACAAGCAUGCUUUUUUGCUGUUACAAGUCAAAAUGCACAUCACUUUUAUGAAAUAAGAGUCAGUCUGGGAUCAAUCUGGGAUGCACAGACAAUAACAUCCUAUCUAUGAUCUGAUCUUGCAAAACAAUCUUUUUACGCAUUGCUCUUCAUUCUUGUAUUCCAUGCUUAGCUCCAGCAUGUCUGGAUCAGCUUCAGGCCAUUUGUUAAGAAAACCUCUCAGCAGUGCAGGAGACAAGAGGCCAAACAUUGAGGUCAUUGUCGGGUACACAAUUCAUUUUCAGUUCAGGGCUCUGUGUUUUUACAGUCUGAUUCAGAUGGCGUAGAUAGCUCUCUUGGGACCAGAGUCAUUUUUAAAAAUCCGAGUAGUAUAUAAUGUUGAGUGACACAACAGAUAAGAGUAAAUUAGACACAGGAAAGGAGGAUAUGCUAGGUUAAUACUGACUGCUGACCCUUUAUGUUGCAAGCACAUAUGCGAGCACCUCCUACAUAGUAAUCUGUGAUGGUGUUUCAUCUGCAACACAUUUCCUCAUCCAGAAAAACAAUUUUAGGAAGUGUAGGGAAUAUAUUCCAUUUGAUACUGCAUCUCCUUAAACACUUCAGAUGAUGAAUUAGUGUGGAGGCAGGAGAGAAGUUACACAGAGUACAGAAACAGUACAGAGUGGCCAGUCAAAUUCCUCAGAGCUGGAAAUAAAUGAAUAUAAAUGUCCCGAACAGACCUCCCUCCUGCAUAUCACUCAAAAACAUACGGUUACUGAUAAAUCUGUGUUCACUGUCCAAGAGCUCCACAAGCCUCCAACAGUUUUGUGUCUAGCAGGGAGGCAAGAAGAAAAACAAAGUCUAUAUCUAAUUUUAAACCUGAGACAGGCUGUUUGUGGGUUGUUGUUUAGACUCAGUGGCAUGCUUGUGGAAUGGGGUAUUUUUAUUGUACACUUUAUUGUAAACUAGGCCAUUUACUUUUGUGUUUAAAAUUAAAAGGGCAUGGCAUGCUCAUUUGCUUCUCCAUAAAGACUCCUACUGAA